UGAACGCACCUUGCACCCUUUGGUAUUCCGAAGGGUAUGCCCGUUUGAGUGUCAUUGUAAUCUCACACCAACUUUUAUUAGUUGGAGGUGGACUUGGAGGUUGCUGUUGAAAAACAGCUCUUCUUAAAUGGAUUAGUGUGGCUCUGGUUGGACUUAAGCCCGAUGUAAUAAAAAUUUCAUUGUGGUGUCUAAUCAAAUCGAGUGUGUGCUUCUAACCGUCUUCGGACAAACUACUUGACAACUUGGCCUCAAAUCGGGUAGGACUACCCGCUGAACUUAA
rnacentral:misc_RNA from 1 species